rnacentral:rRNA from 1 species
CUUGAAUAAAAGUAGUUAUAUUCUUCAUAACUCAAAGAAUUUGGCGGUGAAUUUUAAUUUUUAGGGGAACCUGUAUUUUAAUUGAUAAACCACAAUAGUUUAUACCUUAAUUAUAAUUUAUAUACCUCUAUAUAAUGAACUGUACUUUUAGGUUAAUUGUUUAUUAAAAUAAUUCUUUUAUGUUAGGUCAAGGUGUAGUUUUAUUAAGGUUUAUAUGGGUUACUUUAGUAUUAAUAUGAAUUAUGUAUAUUCAAUAUUGAUUUAUUUAAUUUAGGAUUUAAAAGUAAAUUUAAUUAAUUAAUUAAAUUAAAUAGU